AGAGUAAGAACUGAAAGUUAUGCUAAAAAUUGAAGUUUCAUGCUUUGUUGGAUUGCACUUAAACCAGUGAACAGUAAGAGUAUUUUGGAGGUGCUGUUCUGCUACACUUGAAAAUUAAAAUUGGAAAGGAGUAGUCUUGUUGGUGUUGAUCUAAGCUUAGUUGGUGGCUGAAUGCAAACCUGAAACAAACAGCCUUGAUUCUGGUCUGGUCUGUGCAUUUUGCUAUUUGCUUCAGCAGGUUUUGGAAAUCUGGAUGAAAGCUCCCUGGUCUGAGCAAGUGCUAGUGAGCUUAGCGCAGAGGACAGAGAACUACUGACAGCUUAUCAUCACAGUUUUGAUGAAAAGGUGGAUCUGGACCUCAUUAUGCACUCACUUCAUAACAUCUGUCAUAGUUGUGAGACCGGAGCGAUUUUAAUAUUUCUUCCUGGAUAUGAUGAGAUAGCUUGAGGGACCGCAUUCUUUUUGAUGACAGGAGAUUUGCUGACCAUGCACACAGAUUCUUUCUACAAAUACAGCAGAAACCAGCAUAACAGUCAAUGAUGUGGUAUUUGUUAUUGGCUCAGGCAAGGUGAAAGAGAAGUCUUUUGAUGCACUGAGUUGUGUUACAAUGCUGAAAAUGGUGUGGAUUUCAAAAGCCAGUGCUAUCUAGAGAAAAGGCAGCUAUUAACAAGUCAUCUACAUUCUGAAUCAGGACAGCCCCUUCUCUCAAUUGAAAACCUGUAAGUAACUGCUCCAGUGCCUGGCCAAAUAAA